GAUGAACGCUGGGGGGGGGCUUAUUACUUGCAAGUGGACGGAAAAAACGAGAACUUUGUUCCUCUGACUUAACCGCCGGAGGGGUGAUUAAAACUUGGAAAACUUACUUUAAAAAUUGGGAAAAUUCCGGAAAACGGGGGUAAUAACGGGAUAAUAAUUUGAACGGAAUGGUUAAUUAGUGAAAGACGGUUUUCCUGUAACUUAUAGAGGGAUCCGCGCCGCAUUAGCUAGUUGGUAAGGUAACGGCUUACCAAGGCAACGAUGCGUAGCCGACCUGAGAGGGUGAUCGGCCACACUGGAACUGAGACACGGUCCAGACUCCUACGGGAGGCAGCAGUAGGGAAUCUUCCGCAAUGGGCGAAAGCCUGACGGAGCAACGCCGCGUGAGUGAUGAAGGUCUUCGGAUCGUAAAACUCUGUUAUUAGGGAAGAACAAAUGUGUAAGUAACUAUGCACGUCUUGACGGUACCUAAUCAGAAAGCCACGGCUAACUACGUG
rnacentral:rRNA from 1 species